rnacentral:rRNA from 1 species
UUAACACAUGCAAGUCGAACGAUGACCCUGGUGCUUGCACCAGGUGAUUAGUGGCGAACGGGUGAGUAACACGUGAGUAACCUGCCCCCGACUCUGGGAUAAGCCCGGGAAACUGGGUCUAAUACCGGAUAUUCACUUCCUUCCGCAUGGAGGGUGGUGGAAAGAUUUAUCGGUGGGGGAUGGACUCGCGGCCUAUCAGCUUGUUGGUGGGGUAAUGGCCUACCAAGGCGACGACGGGUAGCCGGCCUGAGAGGGUGACCGGCCACACUGGGACUGAGACACGGCCCAGACUCCUACGGGAGGCAGCAGUGGGGAAUAUUGCACAAUGGGCGAAAGCCUGAUGCAGCGACGCCGCGUGAGGGAUGACGGCCUUCGGGUUGUAAACCUCUUUCAGUAGGGAAGAAGCGAAAGUGACGGUACCUGCAGAAGAAGCGCCGGCUAACUACGUGCCAGCAGCCGCGGUAAUACGUAGGGCGCAAGCGUUAUCCGGAAUUAUUGGGCGUAAAGAGCUCGUAGGCGGUUUGUCGCGUCUGCCGUGAAAGUCCGGGGCUCAACCCCGGAUCUGCGGUGGGUACGGGCAGACUAGAGUGAUGUAGGGGAGACUGGAAUUCCUGGUGUAGCGGUGAAAUGCGCAGAUAUCAGGAGGAACACCGAUGGCGAAGGCAGGUCUCUGGGCAUUAACUGACGCUGAGGAGCGAAAGCAUGGGGAGCGAACAGGAUUAGAUACCCUGGUAGUCCAUGCCGUAAACGUUGGGC